rnacentral:rRNA from 1 species
CCCGUGAACUUAUACUAACUCGGGGGCGUGGGGAAGGUGCACUCGUGCGCUGCCACCCUUCGCCCCCAGCCGGGACGUGCCUCUCGUCGCCCCGAAYCCCUUCGGGCAACGGCGUGGGGUGCUCAUACGGCAAAUUAAACGAACCCCGGCGCGGAAUGCGCCAAGGAAAUUCAAACGAACUUAGCACACCACAAGCCGACUUGUKCGGCUGCGGCGUUGCAAACUUCGAUACCUUAACGACUCUCGGCAACGGAUAUCUCGGCUCUCGCAUCGAUGAAGAACGCAGCGAAAUGCGAUACUUGGUGUGAAUUGCAGAAUCCCGUGAACCAUCGAGUCUUUGAACGCAAGUUGCGCCCGAAGCCAUUCGGCCAAGGGCACGCCUGCCUGGGCGUCACGUAUCGCGUUGCUCCCACAACACUACCUUGUGCUGCGGAAGCGGAUAUUGGCCUCCUGUGCUCUUGCAUGGCUGGCCUAAAUGGAAGCCUCGGGGUGACGAAGGGUCACGACAAGCGGUGGUUGAUAAUCUCUUGGCCCUUGUUGUGUCGUGCCCGUCCGUGCCUUUGCGAGCUAAGCAUCCCCAACGCGCCAUUUCUAGUGGUGCUUGCAUCGCGACC